GGUUAAGCGACUAAGCGUACACGGUGGAUGCCCUGGCAGUCAGAGGCGAUGAAGGACGUGCUAAUCUGCGAAAAGCGUCGGUAAGGUGAUAUGAACCGUUACAGCCGGCGAUGUCCGAAUGGGGAAACCCAGUGCAAUUCGUUGCACUAUCGUUAACUGAAUACAUAGGUUAACGAGGCGAACCGGGGGAACUGAAACAUCUAAGUACCCCGAGGAAAAGAAAUCAACCGAGAUUCCCCCAGUAGCGGCGAGCGAACGGGGAGCAGCCCAGAGUCUGAAUCAGCUUGUGUGUUAGUGGAACGGUCUGGAAAGUCCGACGGUACAGGGUGAUAGUCCCGUACACCAAAAUGCACAGGCUGUGAACUCGAAGAGUAGGGCGGGACACGUGGUAUCCUGUCUGAAUAUGGGGGACCAUCCUCCAAGGCUAAAUACUCCUGACUGACCGAUAGUGAACCAGUACCGUGAGGGAAAGGCGAAAAGAACCCCGGCGAGGGGAGUGAAAAAGAACCUGAAACCGUGUACGUACAAGCAGUGGGAGCACCUUCGGGUGUGACUGCGUACCUUUUGUAUAAUGGGUCAGCGACUUAUAUUCUGUAGCAAGGUUAACCGUAUAGGGGAGCCGCAGGGAAACCGAGUCUUAACUGGGCGUUAAGUUGCAGGGUAUAGACCCGAAACCCGGUGAUCUAGCCAUGGGCAGGUUGAAGGUUGGGUAACACUAACUGGAGGACCGAACCGACUAAUGUUGAAAAAUUAGCGGAUGACUUGUGGCUGGGGGUGAAAGGCCAAUCAAACCGGGAGAUAGCUGGUUCUCCCCGAAAGCUAUUUAGGUAGCGCCUCGUGAACUCAUCUUCGGGGGUAGAGCACUGUUUCGGCUAGGGGGUCAUCCCGACUUACCAACCCGAUGCAAACUACGAAUACCGAAGAAUGUUAUCACGGGAGACACACGGCGGGUGCUAACGUCCGUCGUGAAGAGGGAAACAACCCAGACCGCCAGCUAAGGUCCCAAAGUCAUGGUUAAGUGGGAAACGAUGUGGGAAGGCACAGACAGCCAGGAUGUUGGCUUAGAAGCAGCCAUCAUUUAAAGAAAGCGUAAUAGCUCACUGGUCGAGUCGGCCUGCGCGGAAGAUGUAACGGGGCUAAACCAUGCACCGAAGCUGCGGCAGCGACACUAUGUGUUGUUGGGUAGGGGAGCGUUCUGUAAGCCUGCGAAGGUGUGCUGUGAGGCAUGCUGGAGGUAUCAGAAGUGCGAAUGCUGACAUAAGUAACGAUAAAGCGGGUGAAAAGCCCGCUCGCCGGAAGACCAAGGGUUCCUGUCCAACGUUAAUCGGGGCAGGGUGAGUCGACCCCUAAGGCGAGGCCGAAAGGCGUAGUCGAUGGGAAACAGGUUAAUAUUCCUGUACUUGGUGUUACUGCGAAGGGGGGACGGAGAAGGCUAUGUUAGCCGGGCGACGGUUGUCCCGGUUUAAGCAUGUAGGCUGGUUAUCCAGGCAAAUCCGGAUAAUCAAGGCUGAGGUGUGAUGACGAGGCACUACGGUGCUGAAGUAACAAAUGCCCUGCUUCCAGGAAAAGCCUCUAAGCAUCAGGUAACAUCAAAUCGUACCCCAAACCGACACAGGUGGUCAGGUAGAGAAUACCAAGGCGCUUGAGAGAACUCGGGUGAAGGAACUAGGCAAAAUGGUGCCGUAACUUCGGGAGAAGGCACGCUGGUGUGUAGGUGAAGUCCCUGCGGAUGGAGCUGAGACCAGUCGAAGAUACCAGCUGGCUGCAACUGUUUAUUAAAAACACAGCACUGUGCAAACACGAAAGUGGACGUAUACGGUGUGACGCCUGCCCGGUGCCGGAAGGUUAAUUGAUGGGGUUAUCCGUAAGGAGAAGCUCUUGAUCGAAGCCCCGGUAAACGGCGGCCGUAACUAUAACGGUCCUAAGGUAGCGAAAUUCCUUGUCGGGUAAGUUCCGACCUGCACGAAUGGCGUAAUGAUGGCCAGGCUGUCUCCACCCGAGACUCAGUGAAAUUGAACUCGCUGUGAAGAUGCAGUGUACCCGCGGCAAGACGGAAAGACCCCGUGAACCUUUACUAUAGCUUGACACUGAACAUUGAGCCUUGAUGUGUAGGAUAGGUGGGAGGCUUUGAAGCGUGGACGCCAGUCUGCGUGGAGCCAACCUUGAAAUACCACCCUUUAAUGUUUGAUGUUCUAACGUUGGCCCCUGACCGGGGUUGCGGACAGUGUCUGGUGGGUAGUUUGACUGGGGCGGUCUCCUCCCAAAGCGUAACGGAGGAGCACGAAGGUUAGCUAAUCCUGGUCGGACAUCAGGAGGUUAGUGCAAUGGCAUAAGCUAGCUUGACUGCGAGCGUGACGGCGCGAGCAGGUGCGAAAGCAGGUCAUAGUGAUCCGGUGGUUCUGAAUGGAAGGGCCAUCGCUCAACGGAUAAAAGGUACUCCGGGGAUAACAGGCUGAUACCGCCCAAGAGUUCAUAUCGACGGCGGUGUUUGGCACCUCGAUGUCGGCUCAUCACAUCCUGGGGCUGAAGUAGGUCCCAAGGGUAUGGCUGUUCGCCAUUUAAAGUGGUACGCGAGCUGGGUUUAGAACGUCGUGAGACAGUUCGGUCCCUAUCUGCCGUGGGCGCUGGAGAAUUGAGGGGGGCUGCUCCUAGUACGAGAGGACCGGAGUGGACGCAUCACUGGUGUUCGGGUUGUCAUGCCAAUGGCACUGCCCGGUAGCUAAAUGCGGAAGAGAUAAGUGCUGAAAGCAUCUAAGCACGAAACUUGCCCCGAGAUGAGUUCUCCCUGAGACUUUAAGUCUCCUGAAGGAACGUUAAAGACGAUGACGUUGAUAGGCCGGGUGUGUAAGCGCAGCGAUGCGUUGAGCUAACCGGUACUAAUGAACCGUGAGGCUUAACCUU
rnacentral:rRNA from 1 species